rnacentral:miRNA from 1 species
CCUUAUCAUUUCCGCUGUCCAGA